rnacentral:misc_RNA from 1 species
UUUCCGUAGGUGAACCUGCGGAAGGAUCAUUACCGAGUUUAGGAUCGCAAGAUCCAACUCCCACCCUUUGUUUAUGUCGUCUUCGGCAAGACGUUUUGGAGGCGUCAAGCCAACAAGCCACUGGCGUUGAGCGAGUGAGUGCUUGCCGAAGUUUUUCAAAACUCUAUUUUGACGUCUGAGUCUACAAAAAAUAAAUUAAAACUUUCAACAACGGAUCUCUUGGUUCUGGCAUCGAUGAAGAACGCAGC